AGUGAACGCUGGCGGUAGGCCUAACACAUGCAAGUCGAACGGCAGCACAGUAAGAGCUUGCUCUUACGGGUGGCGAGUGGCGGACGGGUGAGGAAUACAUCGGAAUCUACUUUUUCGUGGGGGAUAACGUAGGGACACUUACGCUAAUACCGCAUACGACCUACGUGUGAAAGCAGGGGAUCUUCGGACCUUGCGCGAUUGAAUGAGCCGAUGUCGGAUUAGCUAGUUGGCGGGGUAAAGGCCCACCAAGGCGACGAUCCGUAGCUGGUCUGAGAGGAUGAUCAGCCACACUGGAACUGAGACACGGUCCAGACUCCUACGGGAGGCAGCAGUGGGGAAUAUUGGACAAUGGGCGCAAGCCUGAUCCAGCCAUACCGCGUGGGUGAAGAAGGCCUUCGGGUUGUAAAGCCCUUUUGUUGGGAAAGAAAAGCAGCAGGUUAAUACCCCGCUGUUCUGACGGUACCCAAAGAAUAAGCACCGGCUAACUUCGUG
rnacentral:rRNA from 1 species